rnacentral:sRNA from 1 species
AAAGUGCCGACGGAGCCGGAGACCCGCUCCCAGAGACGCCGCCUCGCGAUCCCCGCGCGGGCGGGACCGGGCGGCCGGCGUCAUGACCCUGUUUCACUUCGGGAACUGCUUCGCUCUUGCCUACUUUCCCUACUUCAUCACCUACAAGUGCAGCGGCCUGUGAGUGCGGGAAGGGCGCGGGGCGGAGAGGGCGCGGAGCCCGGGCCGACCCUCACCUCCUGCUUCUCCAGGUCCGAGUACAACGCCUUCUGGAAAUGCGUCCAGGCUGGAGUCACCUACCUCUUUGUCCAACUCUGCAAGGUGAGGGCCACCGGGACCCCACGUGUUCUGGCCCCCAGGCUCUACAGACCCAGGGACCCGCCCCCGUUGCGUAUCCCACACGCCCCCGCCCCACGGUGGGACCGCCCUCGGGACUCCGUAUUGGGAGGCGUCAGGAUACCUAGAGAGGAUGGACUUUGAAGAGGGCACGACCUGAGAAGAGACCUAGAAGCAACUUUUGCGUAGCACUUAGUAAAACUGAGAAAACCUCAGUAGUGUGGUUGGCUAAGAGGGUUUUUUUUGGUGCGGUUAAGAGUGAUCUCCGAUUCUCUACGUGCUGCUAACACUGCCCAAGGAGCAGCACCUUCAGACCUGACUCAGGUGCCCUGUGAUCACCCAGAACUCAAACUUCCAGCCCCGUCGGGGACCCGGGGACCUAUCCUCUAUCUCCCCGAUUCCUGUAAUUUUGCCACCAUCUGGUGGUUCCUCUUCCAGAUGGGCCCCCAGAACCUGCCCUGCCCUCCUCAUACCCACGAACUUCCCACAAAUCCCACGUGGUUUAUUUUGAUCCCCUCACCUUGAAGUGACCUGUUUCUGCUUUCUGUUCUCAGAUGCUGUUCUUGGCCACUUUCUUUCCCACCUGGGAAGGCGGCAUCUAUGACUUCAUUGGGGUGAGAGGGGCCAGGGAAGGGCAGGGAGUUCAGGAGUGGGGCUCCCUGUCCCUCUGUGCUUACUUAAGCCUCAACCUGACCCGCAGGAGUUCAUGAAGGCCAGCGUGGAUGUGGCAGACCUGAUAGGUCUAAACCUUGUCAUGUCCCGGAAUGCCGGCAAGGGGGAGUACAAGAUCAUGGUUGCUGCCCUGGGCUGGGCCACCGCCGAGCUUAUUAUGUCCCGGUGCGUGCAACAGCCUGGAGCCCAGACCCCUGAGAAGGGACACCUGGGUUCCACGGGGGUGCUGGAGGGCAGGGGCUCAAAGCCUGGUGCUGAAGGUGUCUAGGUACUGGAGAAUCCCAUCCUUUGCCUUCCUCAGCUGCAUUCCCCUAUGGGUCGGAGCCCGGGGCAUUGAGUUUGACUGGAAGUACAUCCAGAUGAGCAUCGACUCCAACAUCAGUCUGGUAGGCAGUCCUGCUCUCCCACAUACACGUUUCUGCUGGCGGCCAUAUUCCUCCCCGAGGCCUGGCCCCGACUUUCUGCCUCCCUCCAGGUCCAUUACAUCGUCGCGUCUGCUCAGGUCUGGAUGAUAACACGCUAUGAUCUGUACCACACCUUCCGGCCAGCUGUCCUCCUGCUGAUGUUCCUCAGUGUCUACAAGGCCUUCGUUAUGGAGACCUUCGUCCACCUCUGCUCCCUAGGCAGUUGGACAGCCCUACUGGCCCGAGCAGUGGUAACGGGGCUGCUGGCCCUCAGCACUUUGGCCCUGUAUGUCGCCGUUGUCAAUGUGCACUCCUAGGCUUGGUGUCUCAGACAUUGAUGUACCUUUUCCCUGCCUCGCUCCAGGUUUUAGUGAAGUAAACAGUAUUUGGAAA